AGCAGCAGCCGCGGUAAUACGUAGGUCCCGAGCGUUGUCCGGAUUUAUUGGGCGUAAAGCGAGCGCAGGCGGUUAGAUAAGUCUGAAGUUAAAGGCUGUGGCUUAACCAUAGUACGCUUUGGAAACUGUUUAACUCGAGUGCAAGAGGGGAGAGUGGAAUUCCAUGUGUAGCGGUGAAAUGCGUAGAUAUAUGGAGGAACACCGGUGGCGAAAGCGGCUCUCUGGCUUGUAACUGACGCUGAGGCUCGAAAGCGUGGGGAGCGAACAGGAUUAGAUACCCCAGUAGUCCCUGUCUCUUAUACA
rnacentral:rRNA from 1 species